AAAUAUUGUUUUGUGUUACAACUUUUUAAGCACAUAGGCUAAGCUGCAGCUUCACAUCAAAGGAAAACACGAUUACAACACAAAGCCCGUGAUACUGAUGAUUCAUAUCAGAAUCUUAUUCUGCUCAGAGCUACUGCUCUUUACAGGUAGCUUCAAAUUACCGGUAACUUCUGUAGACCGGACUGUACAUGCAACUCUCAGCAUACUU
rnacentral:misc_RNA from 1 species